rnacentral:rRNA from 1 species
UACGAAAGGGGCUAGCGUUGUUCGGAAUUACUGGGCGUAAAGCGCACGUAGGCGGACUGCCAAGUUAGGGGUGAAAGCCCAGCGCUCAACUCUGGAAUUGCCUCUAAAACUGGUAAGCUAGAGGAUGGGAGAGGUGAGUGGAAUUCCGAGUGUAGAGGUGAAAUUCGUAGAUAUUAGGAAGAACACCAGUGGCGAAGGCGGCUCACUGGCACGUUACUGACGCUGAGGCGCGAAAGCGUGGGGAGCAAACAGG